rnacentral:misc_RNA from 1 species
GUGAAUCAUCGAAUUUUUGAACGCAAAUUGCACUCUCUUCGGAGAGUAUGCCUGUUUGAGGGUCAGCCUAAAAAAAAUCGACAUCGUUGCUGUUUCGCGGUGGCGUUCGUCGGAAAUUGGGUUAUCUUAAAUCUUUGGUUUAGCGGACUUAAAAUUUUCUUUACGAUUCAUUGAAGGUUUCAAAGAUUUAUUUUUUUACAGGUUUAGGGAUC